UACGGGGGGAGCGAGCAUUAUUCAAAAUGAUUAGGCGUAAAGAGUUUGUAGGUUGUUUUAUAAGUUGAAAAAAAAAAAAUAAAGCUCAACUUUAUACAUUUUUUCAAAACUAUUAAACUAGAGUAUAAAUAGAAGAUAAUAGAAUUUCUAUUGUAGGGAUAAAAUCUGUUGAUAAUAGAAAGAAUACCUAAAGCGAAAGCUUUUAUCUAGGUAUAUACUGACAUUGAGAAACGAAAGCUUGGGUAGCGAACGGG
rnacentral:rRNA from 1 species